rnacentral:sRNA from 1 species
UAACUCCCAACCCAUGUGAACAUACCUACUGUUGCUUCGGCGGGAUUGCCCCGGGCGCCUCGUGUGCCCCGGAUCAGGCGCCCGCCUAGGAAACUUAACUCUUGUUUUAUUUUGGAAUCUUCUGAGUAGUUUUUACAAAUAAAUAAAAACUUUCAACAACGGAUCUCUUGGUUCUGGCAUCGAUGAAGAACGCAGCGAAAUGCGAUAAGUAAUGUGAAUUGCAGAAUUCAGUGAAUCAUCGAAUCUUUGAACGCACAUUGCGCCCGCCAGUAUUCUGGCGGGCAUGCCUGUCUGAGCGUCAUUUCAACCCUCAUGCCCCUAGGGCGUGGUGUUGGGGAUCGGCCAAAGCCCGCGAGGGACGGCCGGCCCCUAAAUCUAGUGGCGGACCCGUCGUGGCCUCCUCUGCGAAGUAGUGAUAUUCCGCAUCGGAGAGCGACGAGCCCCUGCCGUUAAACCCCCAACUUUCCAAGGUUGACCUCAGAUCAGGUAGGAAUACCCGCUGAACUUAAGCAUAUCAAAA